rnacentral:rRNA from 1 species
AUUGAACGCUGGCGGCAUGCCUUACACAUGCAAGUCGAACGGUAGCGGGCCUUCGGGUGCCGACGAGUGGCGAACGGGUGAGUAAUAUAUCGGAACGUACCUUUCAGUGGGGGAUAACGUAGCGAAAGUUACGCUAAUACCGCAUAUUCUGUGCGCAGGAAAGCAGGGGACCUUCGGGCCUUGCGCUGAUUGAUCGGCCGAUAUCAGAUUAGCUAGUUGGUGAGGUAAAGGCUCACCAAGGCGACGAUCUGUAGCGGGUCUGAGAGGAUGAUCCGCCACACUGGAACUGAGACACGGUCCAGACCCCUACGGGAGGCAGCAGUGGGGAAUUUUGGACAAUGGGGGCAACCCUGAUCCAGCCACGCCGCGUGAGUGAAGAAGGCCUUCGGGUUGUAAAGCUCUUUCGGCCGGGAAGAAAUCGUAUGGGCUAAUACCCUGUGCGGAUGACGGUACCGGCAUAAGAAGCACCGGCUAACUACGUGCCAGCCGCCGCUGUAAAAC